GGAUCUCUUAGGGCCAUAUUCACCCCGCAAAUACCCGGCCUGGUUAGUGUGGCAGGGAAUGUAUUAUCCGUACUGGGGGAUGAGUUUCAGUCCCCUGAGAGUCCUUGAGGGUCCCCAACACCCCUGGGCAGCCCCUCCAUGGGUGGUUAAAGAGCAGAGCGCCCCCAGCCACCUGGGCAGCAGGAAGUGCUGCUCCCGGCCCUGCAAGGAUUCCGAGUAGCCUGUGGAGUAGGCGCCCGCACUGGGAGCACAGCCCAAGGGGACCUGCUGGGGCUCGGGGCUGGGCGGCCUCCAGCAGAUUGGACGCCAGGAAGAUCGCCUCUGUAGACUGCAAGGCGCCUAGGCUCCAGACCCGGCUCUCCAGGAGACCCCAACGCCCUUUUAACUGCAGCCUGGCUCAGGUGCGUGUGGAGUGUGCAGAGUGCGGCAGUGGAGACCUGUUAACCGUGCAUCUCGGAGAUUGUUCCACCAUUACCCCAGGUGGCGAUUUGUUCUCGGUGAUCUUGGUUAAGGAAAUUCUUCCCAUUCUUAAAGGAUCAACUCAAAGACUGCUUUCCUGCUUACUGGAUCCUGCCCGUUGAACUCUUCACAUUUUCCUAGCACCGCGUUAACAGAGCUUUAGUAGCAGUGCAGACUGUGCUGUUUGCCUGUUGUCUUCCUGUCUAGCUGGAAGGUUUGAGGAAGGUUUGCGGCACCCUCAGUCUCCUGGCCCUCGAGCCAGGCAGCACGCCUUCCCUGAGUCCUCAAAAAAUUGUGUGUCGAAUGAGGGAAUCUUUCAACUAAUAUUUCUUUGACCCGCCAAGAUUUUGGGGAAAUCCACAUUUUCAUGUUUCUCUGUUCAAGAACCCAGCAAGCAUUUCCCAGUGUCUUUAUUUGCUAAAUCACCCCACGAAAUACGUUUCUCGGAGACAAGGAAUAAUAGCUGGUGUCUGAAGCCUUCACCAUCUGUCAGGCGGUGUACGAAGGGCUUCCCAGACUUCAUCCAUAUAGUCUUCACAUCAGUUCUUUCAGAAGAGGCUUUUGACCGCACCCAUUUCACAGCUGGGACGACUGAGGUGAGCAAGGCCAGAGAUUCUAUGGCGACGGCCCAGGUGAGGUGGGACCCCAAACCCUCGAGCGCCGACCCUCGUGUACAUAUAGGACUCUGUGCGUGCACCUGCGUGAAGAGUUCCCAGAUUCGUAAAAUGAAGGAUUGGCCUCCAUGACCAUGGACAGCACUUUGUGCCCUGACAAGCCAAGGACUCAAUUCUGUGAACGUAAGACGGUCGUUUAAACUUGAGGCCCUGGUGAUCCCCGUUCAGCAAGCUGAGAAAACAGGCUCAGCAAGGCCCCCGACCGCCACAGGCACACGGGCUUCUUGGUGGGGGAGCUGGUGCAGGACCCACCUUUUCUGCUUCUCGGCCCCGGGCUCUUUCUGUCUAUGUCUCAGCGCCUCUCAGUCCGGCCGCCUGACUGUGUUCUUCGUGGGGGCUGCGGGCUGCACGGCCGGCUGCAGGUCCGCUCUGGGGUCCUGGAGGUGGACGACCUGGACGGGAGGCUUUCCCCACUAUUCUCCCUUAUGAUCCCUUUUUUCUCUUUUAGAGAAUACUAAGCGCCACGUCCCAGGCAUGUGCUAAGCACGUUACAUUAAUUCCCACUGAAUAGACAGGGCACUGAGGCUCAGAGAUGCUGAGGGGCUUGUCCAAGUUAUUUAAUUAGGGAGCAGAGGAGCUGGUCUUAGGUCUGGCAGAUCAGAAGCCCAACUUUCUCAAGCCUAAGCCCAGCGUCCACAGCUCUAGCUGGGCGAGGGCCUCUGCGGGGGUGUGAGUGGUGGAGGGCAUCCUUCCGUGAAAUCACAUGGGGACUUAAACACCUCUUCCUGUGCCCCAAGGCUUUGGGGCGUGACACUGUUUGUGGCAACUGUAGGCUGUGGUAAGGAUUUUAUGGGACAAGGACACUGAAUGGGUGAGCAGAGAAGGAUACAGCAAUAGACAUAAAAGUAGCUAGCCCUUACUAAACAUUCCAUCCCUUCCUCCUCUCCCCUCCCUCUUUCCCUUGGAUGAUUAAGAGCCAGACUUUGAAGUCAAGAAGACCUGUGUUAAAGUGCUGGUUGAGCAACUGACUAGCUGUGUUGCCUUGGACAAGUCACUUAACCUCUCUGGGCUUCAACUCCCUCAUCUGCAAAAUUGGGACAGUGACAGACACUAUCUCACGGUUGUUAUGUGAAUCAGGAAAUAUACAUAAAGGGCUUAGUGCAGCGCUGAGUGCACAGUAAAAGCUGAAUGAAUAGGGAGCUGUUAUCAUUAAUCCCUUCUGCUCCAGUUUCUGCCCCUACGUAGCUGAGAGGCCUUGGCUAAGACCCUUCUAUGGGCCUCAGCUUCCUAAUUUGUAAAAUGAGCAUGUUUGACUAGGUCAGUGUUUCCCAAGGUGUGGUACACUGGUGGUAAGCAAGACAAGUUUAUGGGGUACAAAGUGAACGUUUGUUAUUUUAAGUUAUGAGUAUGUUAAUAUAUAAGAGAGAAAAAUAAAAACGAAG
rnacentral:lncRNA from 1 species